rnacentral:lncRNA from 10 species
GGAGACCCGCGGGUCUGGCUGCGAGAGAUUGGGUAACUCAAGGCGUCCCUGGAGUACACUGAGGAUAAGUGUUUGAGAAAUGCUGUCUGAAGGAAUGAAGUCAGUCUAUGACAACGUCUCUCUGCCGUGAAUCAUUCCUGCAGAUGAAAAAGUGUGACUUGGCAGCUGGAGCCGGCGCACGUGCAGGAGCCACCAGUGGUGCAGGAGCAGUUGGGGUCCAUUUCAAGCCGCGGUAAGGCUGGAGAUCUCAAGCGAUAAUGGAGAGACAGCAAGGCGCACGUGGACGGCGUGUUCACCAAUUACCAAACUUUUUGACCUGAGCAACUAGAAGAAUGGAGUUGCCAUUAUUUGACACAAAGAAGACUGCAGGAGGGACAGGUUUGAGUAGAAAUAUGAAGAGCUCACCCAAGUGGAUGUGGUAAGUAGGCUAUUUUGAUAUUUGGACCUGAGUUCAGGAAGAAGGUUGAGAGUGAAGUGGGAAUUUGGAGGUUUUCAGAAUCAAUAUAAUAUGUAAAACCCAAGGGACUGAAGAAAUUACUUAGGAAAUGAGUGUAGACAGAAAAGCAAAGAGUUCCAAUGACUGGAUCCUGGGGCAACUCUAAUACUUAGAGGUUGGGAAAAUGAAGAGGAAUCAGCCAAAGACACUGAGAAGGAAGAGCCAAAAAGAAGAAAACCAGGAAAGUGAGAACUCCCGGAAGCCAAGUGAAUAAAAUGUUUUAAGAAAGAGAGAGUAAUCAACUGUGUCACACAGAUCAAAUAAUAUGAAGAUGAAUAGAAGGUAAUUAGAUUUACCAAUGUGGAGGUUGUUGGUGAUCUUGAGAUGUUUUGGUGGAGUGUAUGGGACAAAAAUCUGAUUGGAGUAGGUUCAAGAGGAAUUGAAAAUGUUGAGUAUACAGGUUAUAGCUUUUUCAAGAAGUUUUACUACAAAGAAGAAGGAGAAAAUGUGGCAGCUGUAGUUGGUAGUGGAGUCAAAACAGACUUUUUGUUUGUUUUUAAGAUGGGAAACAUAACAUUUGUAUGUUGAUUGAGACUGAUCCAGGAGAGAGGGAAAAAUUGAUGAUGCAGGAGAGAGAGGAGAACUGCUGAAGCCAUGCCCUUGAGUAAGCAUGUAUAUGAGUGAGGAGGUUGGCUAUGAGCUAGGAUAAUUCCUCCAUAAUAAGAGGAAAGAACAGGACUUUUAGCAGUACAAAUCUGGUACCAGUGUGGAGAAGAGCUUAAAGGGAGAACUUGCAUUUGUUGGUUACUUACUUUUUGUCUAGCAUUGUUAGAUGCUUUCCUCACAAGAGUUCUUUUUUAUUUUUACUUGUAUUUUUAUUUUUUUCCAAUCAUAUUCUUUCUAAUUAUUUUUAUUUUUUUAGAGACAGGAUCUCACUCUGUCACCCAGGCU